rnacentral:tRNA from 1 species
AAAAAGAUAAGCUAAACAAGCUUUUGGGUUCAUACCCCAAAUAUAAAGGUAAUAAACCAUUUCUUUUUA